GUCUAACCUGCCCACUGAUUUUUAAAUGGCCGCAGUAUAUUGACUGUGCAAAGGUAGCAUAAUCAUUAGUCUUUUAAUUGAAGGCUGGAAUGAAUGGUUGGACGAAACAUUAACUGUUUUAUAUAAAUUUAAAAUAGAAUUUUAUUUUUUAGUAAAAAAGCUAGAAUAAAUUUAAAAGACGAGAAGACCCUAUAAAUCUUUAUAUAAGUUAUAUAUAGUAAUUAUAGAAAUUAAAUUUUAUAAAUAUAUAAUGAAAUAUUUUAUUGGGGUGAUAGUAAAAUUUAAUUAACUUUUAUUAAUUUUUAUUCAUUAAUUAAUGAAUUUUUGAUCCUAUAUUAUAGAUUAAAAGAAUAAGUUACUUUAGGGAUAACAGCGUAAUUUUUUUGGAGAGUUCAUAUCGAUAAAGAAGAUUGCGACCUCGAUGUUGGAUUAAGAUUAAAUUUAGGUGCAGAAGUUUAAAUUUUAAGUCUGUCGACUUU
rnacentral:rRNA from 1 species